CGUACUCUUGUAUUCUUCUCUCCUUCGUUCUUUAAUUUAACAAGAAAAAGACAACUAAGAUGGGGAUAUAUUGAGAAAUAAUCCCAGAAGCCCUAGCCAAAUCCAAAUCAAUCUCAUGGUGGUCGGGAUAUCUGCAGCUGAUGCUUUUAAAGUUCUUGAGGGAAGGGCUCACAUUACAAGAAAAGAUGGGAUGAUGACAUGGUUUCUCAAUUGAGAGCUCACAUACUGAUUCAUUAUAUAAAGUGAGAGAGGUGAGCAGAAGUGGGUGCUUCAGGAGUUAAAGGGCGAAGUGAUCACAAGCGUGAGAUGAGCAGACAUGUAAACUUUUUGUUUUAAUAUUUAAUGCUGGACUUUUUCUUAGAAAAAAUGGUACGACUAGCAGAAGUGCACUUUAAUAGCAUGUGUUCUCUUCUUCUUCUCUUCAUCGUGUCACUACAGUAAGAGGCUGACAAUUUAUUUUUGUUCAAUUCUUGGUUGUAGUCAUAGAACUAUUUCUCUGCAUUGGUAGACUGUUUAUUGCACUGUUCUUUAUUUUUAUUCAUCUUGUUUUUCUCAUUUAAUAAAUUAAUG